rnacentral:lncRNA from 1 species
UUUUUUUUUUUUUUUUUUAUACAUAGGAUUUUAUUUUGCACUGCUGUAACAAUUUCAUUAUAGACCAAGGGAGAGAGAGAGAGAGAAAAAAAAGGAUAAAACCAUCACACUGAGUAAAUUACUAAAGCUUUUCUACUUUUGACAGGAUUUUCCAUCUGGUAGAUUUAUUGUCAUAUCCCCUUCAAAACAGACAAGAUGCUUACCAUAUUUUAAAGAUUAUAGGUUGCCACUGAAAGAAAAAUUUUACACAGUCACUGUACAUCAAGGUUGAAAAACUGUCCUGCAUGAAAAAUAUACUUAGAAAUCAUGUGAAUAAAAGCAAAAGAAAACAUUAUUGUGUUUAAGGAAAGAUUAAAGUCCUCAUAAUGUGCCAUCUAAAUGUGGACAUUCAUUCUUCUUGGAGUCGCUUAGGUGUAGGGAGUUCUUGCUUCUGCCCAUUUCACUCAUUAUACUGUGUUUCUACCCAACAGUAUUCAUUAAGGCAAACAAAUCCUUUUCUGAGGAGGUCUUAAAGAAACUGUGGACAUAUAGCAAACUUUUGGCAUUAAAACAGGUUAACACAUACAUAGCCUUUAGUAAUGUACAUUAAGCAUAUUUUCUUGGACUAGUGACAAGAAAAGAUGAACAUGCUUGUUAACAAUGUCAAAAAGUUUAAAAUUCAGUGUCCAAGCAAUUCCUAACAAUGCUUCUGUAGCUUUAAGCUCUAAACAGUAUAGAAUUUAUGCAAAUGCAUUAAAGAAUUCAAGCUUGGCAAUUACACACCCAAGCAGGUUAAAACUGUAUAUACAGAAAGUAAAUGAUAAAUACAGAAUUAAAAGAGUCCUUCUGGUUUUCCUUAUAGCCUUGAAAACUGACAAACUUUUUGAGGACAGUUCUAGAAUAUUAAACAUUAGGUCCACAGGUGUCGGGAAACCUAACCACACAAACUGAUUUAAAAUACUCAAGAUGACUUUGUAGUGUUUAAUACAGUUCAGUUCGUAGGUAAGGGCACAAGACAACAUUCAACAAAAAUAAUCACAUCAAUUGACCUAGAAAUCAAAUGCAAAUAGAUAUGAAUACAAUCUCCAAAAUCUGUCUUUUUUAAGUGAACAUUAACCAUUUAUUCAAAGUUAUACAAGAAUUUCGAAGGAUUAGAGUCUCCUGUGACAUAAAGCCAUUUCAAAUAGUUUCAUGUCUCAGCUGAGCAGGAGAGUGAAAGAGGAAGUGAGGAGCCACAUUUGGGCAGCGAGACGGUAAAAACGGACUCAACAGCAGCCUCCCCCGGCCUGCUGUCCUCCCUGAUUGCCCGCGUGUGUGGCAUUAGUAGCAGCGUGCUGAGGGCCAAUUUUAAUGCCGUUUGCCUCAUUAUUAAUGUCAAAGACUCCUUCUCGGAUUUUCUCAUAAAUUUCUUUUGCUGUAUUAAUAAAUGCCUCUUCUACAUUGGAAGCAGUCUUAGCAGAAGUUUCCAUGAAGAUAAGUCCAUGUUCUCGUGCAAAAGCUUCACCUUCUUCUUUUUUUACUUCUCUUCUAGAUUCUAAAUCACUUUUAUUUCCAAUAAGCAUAAUGACCAUGUUGGAAUUGGAACGCUGGCGGGCAUCUUCUAACCAGGUUGUCAAGUGGUUGAAUGUAUCUCUCCUUGUAAUAUCAUACACUAGUAAAGCCCCUGCUGCACCUCUGUAAUAUGACCUUGUGAUGGAACGAAAGGACUCUUGCCCUGCCGUAUCCCAUAUCUGAAGUUUUAUCUGUUUCCCAUCAAUAGUUAUCAUUCGAGCACCAAACUCUACACCGAUAGUCAGGUCAUGCACUGGCUGAAACCUCUUGUCUGUAAACUGUAGCAAUAAGCAUGAUUUACCAACACCUGUGUCGCCGAUGAUGAUGUACCUGAAGAGAUAGGCGUACGCCACGGCCACGGCCGCUCGGUGCCAGGGCACACGGCUCCUCCUCCGGCUACUGCUCCUCCUCCUCCUCCUCCUCCGCGCCCCUCACCCCGGCGCCACUCGGCCUCGAAACGCCAGGCCCCGCCCGCCGCAGCCGUCGCCGUCAGCCGCAGACACUUAAGGGCCGAGAGGAAGCAGGACAAACUGACACCCGCACAGCCGGUGGAGACAGCUCCCGACCGAGCUCAGUCGAACAAUC